GGGGGUUUAGCUCAGCUGGGAGAGCGCUAGAAUGGCACUCAAGAGGUCAGCGGUUCGAUCCCGCUAAUCUCCACCA
rnacentral:tRNA from 1 species